UACGUAGGUGGCAAGCGUUGUCCGGAUUUACUGGGCGUAAAGAGCGCGCAGGCGGUUGUUUAAGUCGAAUGUGAAAGCCCCCGGCUCAACUGGGGAGGGUCAUUCGAUACUGAUCGACUCGAAGGCAGGAGAGGGAAGUGGAAUUCCCGGUGUAGUGGUGAAAUGCGUAGAUAUCGGGAGGAACACCAGUGGCGAAGGCGACUUCCUGGCCUGUUCUUGACGCUGAGGCG
rnacentral:rRNA from 1 species